rnacentral:lncRNA from 1 species
AAGCAAAACAAAGAGAAGGGAUAUUUUCCAAGCGGAAUCUGAAGUCUUUCUGUUAGACUCAGUCUGGGUGUGCAGAACCAGAUGGAGAAAGGACCCCCAGAGAGAGUGGGUGUGCAACACCACCAGAGAAGUCUAGAGUGAGGAUGGAAAGAAAGGAGGGAGGAGAGGAGUAAGUAAAAUGUUGACCAUAGUCCCCAUUGCCUCCCCUUAGAGUGGACGACGUCGUGAAGUCAAUGUACCCUCCACUGGACCCCAAGCUCCUGGAUGCACGGACAACCGCUCUGCUCCUGUCCGUUAGUCACUUGGUGCUAGUGACCAGGAAUGCCUGCCACCUCACCGGGGGCCUAGACUGGAUCGACCAGUCACUGUCUGCUGCGGAGGAGCACCUGGAAGUCCUUCGAGAGGCAGCCCUGGCUUCUGAGCCAGAUAAAAGCCUCCCCAACCCCGAAGGCUUCCUGCAGGAACAGUCGGCCAUUUAAUCAUCGUCGAGGCCCUGUUUCUGCCCCUGGGUGAACCUUCUACUUCCUGUACAUUUAGUUGUUCUCUAGAGCUCGAGCGGCCAGCCCUGGGUGCAGGGUAAAGCCGAGAGUCUCACGCUGGAUGCCUCUGCUGCAGUGGCAAAGAGUGGCUGGAGAGUGGCAGUGUAACACCACGUCUACCGCAGAGCGCAGAAAGCUGCCGGGCUCGCUGCUACAUUUUAGUUCAUUUAAUGUUUCCAAGAAAAUCGAGUUGCCCUCUAAGAAUCGAGAGGCUUCACAUUAAAUUAGAAUUUCCGGCUUCUGAAAAUCAAGGCGGGGCAACAAGGACAAUCAGAACUAAGUGGCGGGGUUGAGAUUGUUUCUGUAUCUUUGGGUGACCCUUGCACUCCCCUUGCUGUUUUGUUUGUGUUUUAGGGCCUGAUCCCUGAUGUCCCGGAGCUCCCCACUCCCACCCCGCUUCUCUUGUACCUUCUUCCCCUUUCCCAUUUGUGUUAGAAGCUGAGGAAUACAGAGUUGAUUGUUUCCUUUUUUAUCACUAUGCCUGCAAUUUUACUUCACAACCACUAGGCGAAUAGUAAACUUGUUCUUCUGUUUUCC